rnacentral:rRNA from 1 species
AGAGUUUGAUCCUGGCUCAGAUUGAACGCUGGCGGCAUGCCUUACACAUGCAAGUCGAACGGCAGCACGGGAGCAAUCCUGGUGGCGAGUGGCGAACGGGUGAGUAAUAUAUCGGAACGUGCCCAGUCGUGGGGGAUAACGUAGAGAAAUUUACGCUGAUACCGCAUACGAUCUAAGGAUGAAAGCGGGGGACCGUAAGGCCUCGCGCGAUUGGAGCGGCUGAUAUCAGAUUAGGUUGUUGGUGAGGUAAAAGCUCACCAAGCCGACGAUCUGUAGCUGGUUUGAGAGAACGACCAGCCACACUGGGACUGAGACACGGCCCAGACUCCUACGGGAGGCAGCAGUGGGGAAUUUUGGACAAUGGGCGAAAGCCUGAUCCAGCAAUGCCGCGUGCAGGAAGAAGGCCUUCGGGUUGUAAACU